CUCUCCCUAUCCCUGGCUGGAAGCCACAGAAUAAUAUUCAGAGACAAAUUCCCCUGUCCCACCAGGUGGAGUAGCUCUCUCUCCACCUCAGAGGGAAGGGGUUCCCUCCCAACCUGUUAGCUGCUCUGGGGUAUGGAUGUUUCCUCAGGUCAAAUAAGGACAAUGCAUUUUCUCAUUUCCCUCCAGCAUAUGGACACUGUCUGGUGAGGGACAAAAACCAGGAUCGUGUGGGCAUACCCAAGGCAGAGGUUGAGAUGACUGAUCCUAAGUCUUCUGGUUACCUCGGAAACAAGACUUGGGAAAGACGGAUUUCAUAGAUGUCCUUUCUGACAGCUGUGGAGCACUACCAUAUCGACUUUAAAGGCCACGUAGAAUAGAAUGGUUUUGUGGAAGAAGGAGAAGGAAGAUGGAAGGAAGUGGGCACGUGAUGGGAAAAGAGGAGAAAUACGUCCUGGGCCAGAGUCCCUUUCUCCUCUGCAGCACUGGAGGUGGGAAGAGCUUCUGGGAUAAUCUGCAUUCAGCCGUCAUCGCUUCCUUGACGAUGAAUGUCUGGCCAUCCCUGCCCUCUUCCAGGGGGUAUCCAAACCCCAGGCAGAACCUUCUACCAUGAACUAUUGCGACCACAGGAAUAUUCUGAAGAUGAAUCAAUAAGCGAUUGCAGGGCAGAUUAGCAGUCUGAACAUGGUCAUUCGACAGCACAACACAGCUAUGCCAAGUACAUGUCGUUAGAGCCACUGUACAAGGAAAUGACUUAUACCCAGUGGCUCCAAUUUUAAUGUUAUCUAAUUAGUCUAUCUGUAGAUGUUCACGUUCUUAUUUUAUACUGCUGGGAAAGGAUAUGUAUCGUCAGACACCCUUACUGUAACUCUUGCUGACGUCUGAAAGUUCCACACAAAUAUCUGGGGAUAGAAUUUGAGUCUCUGUAUGCCAAGGAUUGAGUUACUAAACACGAGAUCGUAACUAAUCCAAUGUAUGAAUCAACUUCUUUCAGAGCAUCUCCCUCCCUCCUCUUCCCUUAAAAGGAAUGGCUGGCUUUGCAAAGGUCUGUUUCUUGUUUCUUUGAGUAAAUGAUUAACCACUCGCAUGAGAAUCCUAUAAACCUUUGGGAAACAGUCUUUGAGACAAUUCUUUUUGUCCACUGGAGCCAUGUUGAAUACAUUCAAGCUGUUGGAAUUUACAAGAUAGCAGCCUAGUCACAGAACCGGUAUUGUCCCAG
rnacentral:lncRNA from 1 species